rnacentral:lncRNA from 1 species
CAACAUGUUCCUAAGCAGGCUGACUGGGGUGUUAGCAAACAGCAGCAGCAGGAAAUCUCCGGCCCCUGACAGGGAAGACUGCCCUCCAAGCAGUGAGUUUAAAAAGUCUCAUGGAAAAUAGAGCUACUGACUGCAUAUCUCUGUUGUGGUCACCAUACAGUUGACUGAAUCUGCUGAGUAUCCAGUACCCCCCUAUACAUUCUAGAGGAAAAGGAAAACCUAGGCUCUUAGGAAGCUGAUGAUCAUCUGAGAGGCAAGUCGUAUACUUACCUUAUCAGUUAGAUCAAUUAAUGUAAAUUAGUGUGGAAUAGACUGAGCUACAGUUGGCUGACUUGCUGUGGGUCAUCAGACAGCAUCUGAUUAUUUCCUAAUAUGUGCUCAACAAUGAGUCAGGUGAGAUGGGAGCUAUGAAAGGAGAGUACAACCCAUCUCUGUCCCAAAGAAAUCUUAUGUCAGCUCAGUACAUAAGAUUUACUUAGAUAAAAUAACAAGUAGCAAGAAACAGUGUUCAAAUGAAUGGUAUUGCUCUCCUAUGCCUGAGAAUAUAAAAUUUCAGAAAAUUAAGAGAACCGCAUAAGCCAGUUUAGUUGUAGGAGGCUUUGUGAAAAGUAGGUCUUAGGAUACUCAUUAAUUCAUUUAUUAUUCAUGCAUUUUCCAUCCACACAACAAAUAUUACAAGCUGUAUACGAUGUUCCAAGUUCAGAUAAAGUAAUGAAGGAGCCAGGCAUGGAUUCCCAUCCUUAUGAAGCUUAAAGUCUAAUGUGAGACAGAUGUUGGUCAUAUAAUUGCACAGAUAUUAAGUUAUAAACUGUGGUAAGUGCCUUGAAAGAAUAUAGGAGGAGUAGUUUGGAGGAACAGGCAGUCAGAGUGAUAGUUGCUCACAUAUCAAAAGGAUGAGUAAGAGGAUCAGCCAAUGGAAGUAGGGAGUAGUCUAGGUAGAGGGCACAUAUGUGCAGAGACUCAAGGGGGAGAAGGCACUGCCCAUCUAUAGAAAGGCAGUAAGGCAGUGUAACUGGUAUACAGUAGGAGGGAAAAUAGCAUCCAGUGUGUUGAAAAGAUAAUUCUUGUUUCUGACAUUUCUAGGGUCCUGGA